rnacentral:rRNA from 1 species
UGCGUAGGCGGUCCGGGAAGUUGCGUGUGAAAGCCCUCAGCUCAACUGAGGAAUUGCGCGCAAAACUGCCGGGCUGGAGGGAGACAUAGGUGAGCGGAACUUAGGGUGGAGCGGUGAAAUGCGUUGAGAUCCUAAGGAACACCAGUAGCAAAAGCGGCUCACUGGGUCUCUUCUGACGCUGAAGCACGAAAGCUAGGGGAGCGAAGAGGAUUAGAUACCCUCGUAGUCCUAGCCGUAAACGAUGAGCACCUGUUUGGAGGGUCCUCCAUAGCCUUCCAGACGUAGCGAAAGUGUUAAGUGCUCCGCCUGGGGAGUAUGGUCGCAAGGCUGAA